rnacentral:rRNA from 1 species
GGGUUGUGAGGUUAAGCGACUAAGCGUACACGGUGGAUGCCCUGGCAGUCAGAGGCGAUGAAGGGCGUGCUAAUCUGCGAUAAGCGCCGGUAAGGUGAUAUGAACCGUUAUAACCGGCGAUACCCGAAUGGGGAAACCCAGUGUGACUCGUCACACUAUCAUUAACUGAAUCCAUAGGUUAAUGAGGCGAACCGGGGGAACUGAAACAUCUAAGUACCCCGAGGAAAAGAAAUCAACCGAGAUUCCCCCAGUAGCGGCGAGCGAACGGGGAGGAGCCCAGAGCCUGAAUCAGCAUGUGUGUUAGUGGAAGCGUCUGGAAAGGCGCGCGAUACAGGGUGACAGCCCCGUACACAAAAGCGCAUGUGCUGUGAGCUCGAUGAGUAGGGCGGGACACGUGGUAUCCUGUCUGAAUAUGGGGGGACCAUCCUCCAAGGCUAAAUACUCCUGACUGACCGAUAGUGAACCAGUACCGUGAGGGAAAGGCGAAAAGAACCCCGGCGAGGGGAGUGAAAAAGAACCUGAAACCGUGUACGUACAAGCAGUGGGAGCACAGGUUUACCUGUGUGACUGCGUACCUUUUGUAUAAUGGGUCAGCGACUUAUAUUCUGUAGCAAGGUUAACCGUAUAGGGGAGCCGGAGGGAAACCGAGUCUUAAUUGGGCGUUAAGUUGCAGGGUAUAGACCCGAAACCCGGUGAUCUAGCCAUGGGCAGGUUGAAGGUUGGGUAACACUAACUGGAGGACCGAACCGACUAAUGUUGAAAAAUUAGCGGAUGACCUGUGGCUGGGGGUGAAAGGCCAAUCAAACCGGGAGAUAGCUGGUUCUCCCCGAAAGCUAUUUAGGUAGCGCCUCGUGAAUUCAUCUCCGGGGGUAGAGCACUGUUUCGGCUAGGGGGCCAUCCCGGCUUACCAACCCGAUGCAAACUGCGAAUACCGGAGAAUGUUAUCACGGGAGACACACGGCGGGUGCUAACGUCCGUCGUGAAGAGGGAAACAACCCAGACCGCCAGCUAAGGUCCCAAAGUCAUGGUUAAGUGGGAAACGAUGUGGGAAGGCCCAGACAGCCAGGAUGUUGGCUUAGAAGCAGCCAUCAUUUAAAGAAAGCGUAAUAGCUCACUGGUCGAGUCGGCCUGCGCGGAAGAUGUAACGGGGCUAAACCAUGCACCGAAGCUGCGGCAGCGACGCUGAUGCGUUGUUGGGUAGGGGAGCGUUCUGUAAGCCUGCGAAGGUGGCCUGUGAGGGUUGCUGGAGGUAUCAGAAGUGCGAAUGCUGACAUAAGUAACGAUAAAGCGGGUGAAAAGCCCGCUCGCCGGAAGACCAAGGGUUCCUGUCCAACGUUAAUCGGGGCAGGGUGAGUCGACCCCUAAGGCGAGGCCGAAAGGCGUA